ACGGGAGGCAGCAGUGGGGGAUAUUGCACAAUGGGCGCAAGCCUGACCCAGCAACGCCGCGUGAGGGAAGAAGGCUUUCGGGUUGUAAACCUCUGCCCUUGGUGACGAAGAAGUGACGGUAGCCAAGGAGGAAGCCCCGGCUAACUACGUGCCAGCAGCCGCGGUAAUACGUAGGGGGCGAGCGUUGUCCGGAAUUACUGGGCGUAAAGGGUGCGUAGGCGGUUGAUUAAGUUGGAUGUGAAAUACCCGGGCUUAACUUGGGGGGUGCAUCCAAUACUGGUUGACUAGAGUGCAGGAGAGGAAAGCGGAAUUCCUAGUGUAGCGGUGAAAUGCGUAGAUAUUAGGAGGAACACCAGUGGCGAAGGCGGCUUUCUGGACUGUAACUGACGCUGAGGCACGAAAGCGUGGGGAGCAAACAGGAUUAGAUACCCUGGUA
rnacentral:rRNA from 1 species